GAGGGUGUAGCUCAGUGGUAGAGCAUGUGCUUAACACAUGAGGUCCUGGGUUCAACCCCAGUAUCUCCA
rnacentral:tRNA from 1 species